GCCAGGUGUUGUGGUGUGCACCUGUAGUCCCAGCUAUUAGGAGGCUGAGGUGGGAGGAUCGCUUGAGCCCAGGAGGUCAAGGCUGCAGUGAGCCAUGAUCACAUCACUGCACUCCAGCCUGGGCGACAAAGCGAGACCCUCAA
rnacentral:SRP_RNA from 1 species